GACGAACGCUGGCGGCGUGGAUUAGGCAUGCAAGUCGAACGGUAUCAUCCUUUCGGGGGUGAGAGAGUGGCGAACUGGUGAGUAACACGUAGGUUAUCUACCCUCAAGACGGGGACAACCCAGGGAAACUUGGGCUAAUACCGGAUGUGAGCAACUUUUAGUUGUUUGAAAGGUGGCGUAAGCUGUCGCUUGGGGAUGAGCCUGCGUCCUAUUAGUUAGUUGGUGAGGUAACGGCUCACCUAGGCAAUGAUAGGUAGGCGGCCUUAACGGGUGGUCGCCCACACUGGGAUUGAGAUACGGCCCAGACUCCUACGGGAGGCAGCAGUCGAGAAUAGUCUACAAUGGUCGGAAGACUGAUAGUGCGAUGCCGCGUGAACGAUGAAUCCCGUUCGGGUAGUAAAGUUUCUUUUAUAUGUGAGCAGUGCUUCUUAUAUUAACAGUAGUGGGGAGAGAGAUAUUAGCAUAUGAAUAAGCAACGGCUAACUCCGUGCCAGCAGCCGACGGUAAAACG
rnacentral:rRNA from 1 species